rnacentral:rRNA from 1 species
AGAGUUUGAUCCUGGCUCAGGAUGAACGCUGGCGGCGUGCUUAACACAUGCAAGUCGAACGGAAAGGCCAGUGCUUGCACUGGUACUCGAGUGGCGAACGGGUGAGUAACACGUGGGUGAUCUGCCCUGCACUUCGGGAUAAGCCUGGGAAACUGGGUCUAAUACCGGAUAGGACAAUGGUUUGGAUGCCGUUGUGGAAAGUUUUUCGGUGUGGGAUGAGCUCGCGGCCUAUCAGCUUGUUGGUGGGGGUAAUGGCCUACCAAGGCGUCGACGGGUAGCCGGCCUGAGAGGGUGUACGGCCACAUUGGGACUGAGAUACGGCCCAGACUCCUACGGGAGGCAGCAGUGGGGAAUAUUGCACAAUGGGCGCAAGCCUGAUGCAGCGACGCCGCGUGGGGGAUGACGGCCUUCGGGUUGUAAACUCCUUUCGCUAGGGACGAAGCGUAUUUGUGACGGUACCUGGAGAAGAAGCACCGGCUAACUACGUG